AGGAGGUUUGAUCAUGGCUCGGGACGAACGCUGGCGGCGUGCCUAACACAUGCAAGUCGUACGAACCGCGGAGGGCUUGCUCUCCAAGGUUAGUGGCAGACGGGUGCGUAACACGUGAGUAACCUGACCGACGGAGGGGGAUAGCCGGCCCAACGGCCGGGUAAUACCGCGUAUCGCGUUUGAGGGACAUCCCUUGAGCGUGAAAGCUGCCGCAAGGUAGCGCCGACGGAGGGACUCGCGGCCUAUCAGCUUGUUGGUGGGGUAAUGGCCUACCAAGGCUCCGACGGGUAGCUGGUCUGAGAGGAUGGCCAGCCACAUUGGGACUGAGACACGGCCCAGACUCCUACGGGAGGCAGCAGUGGGGAAUAUUGCGCAAUGGCCGCAAGGCUGACGCAGCGACGCCGCGUGUGGGAUGACGGUCCUCGGGUUGUAAACCACUGUCGGGAGGGACGAAUGCCUGGCUUCGAUAAGGGGAUCAGGUUUGACGGUACCUCCAAAGGAAGCGCCGGCUAACUCCGUGCCAGCAGCCG
rnacentral:rRNA from 1 species